GGGGCUGUGGCUCAGUGGUAGAGUGCUUGCCUAGCAUGCAUGAGGCACUGGGUUCAAUCCUCAGUACCA
rnacentral:tRNA from 1 species